rnacentral:rRNA from 1 species
CGAUGAUGCAUAGCCCGAGUUGAGAGACUGAUCGGCCACAGUUGGGGACUGAGACACGGGACCCAAAACUCCUACGGGGAGGCAGCAGUAGGGAAUCUUCCACAAUGGACGCAAGUCUGAUGGAGCAACGCCGCGUGAGUGAAGAAGGUUUUCGGAUCGUAAAGCUCUGUUGUUGGUGAAGAAGGAUAGAGGUAGUAACUGGCCUUUAUUUGACGGUAAUCAACCAGAAAGUCACGGCUAACUACGUGCCCAGCAGCCGCGGGUAAU